GGGGAAUAUUGGGCAAUGGGGGCAACCCUGACCCAGCAACGCCGCGUGAAGGAAGAAGGCCUUCGGGUUGUAAACUUCUUUGACGAGGGACGAAACAAAUGACGGUACCUCGAAAACAAGCCACGGCUAACUACGUGCCAGCAGCCGCGGUAAUACGUAGGUGGCAAGCGUUGUCCGGAUUUACUGGGUGUAAAGGGCGCGUAGGCGGGAUUGCAAGUCAGAUGUGAAAUACCGGGGCUUAACCCCGGGGCUGCAUUUGAAACUGCAGUUCUUGAGUGUCGGAGAGGCAGGCGGAAUUCCUAGUGUAGCGGUGAAAUGCGUAGAUAUUAGGAGGAACACCAGUGGCGAAGGCGGCCUGCUGGACGAUAACUGACGCUGAGGCGCGAAAGCGUGGGGAGCAAAC
rnacentral:rRNA from 1 species